UACGAAGGGGGCUAGCGUUGUCCGGAAUUACUGGGUGUAAAGGGCGUGUAGACGGGGAUGCAAGUCAGAUGUGAAAUUCCAGGGCUCAACCCUGGCGCUGCAUCUGAAACUGUGUCUCUUGAGUGCUGGAGAGGAAAGCGGAAUUCCUAGUGUAGCGGUGAAAUGCGUAGAUAUUAGGAGGAACACCAGUGGCGAAGGCGGCUUUCUGGACAGUAACUGACGUUGAGGCGCGAAAGCGUGGGGAGCAAAUAGG
rnacentral:rRNA from 1 species